rnacentral:rRNA from 1 species
GACGAACGCUGGCGGCGUGCUUAACACAUGCAAGUCGAACGGAAAGGCCCUGCUUUUGUGGGGUGCUCGAGUGGCGAACGGGUGAGUAACACGUGAGUAACCUGCCCUUGACUUUGGGAUAACUUCAGGAAACUGGAGCUAAUACCGGAUAGGAGCUCCUGCUGCAUGGUGGGGGUUGGAAAGUUUCGGCGGUUGGGGAUGGACUCGCGGCUUAUCAGCUUGUUGGUGGGGUAGUGGCUUACCAAGGCUUUGACGGGUAGCCGGCCUGAGAGGGUGACCGGCCACAUUGGGACUGAGAUACGGCCCAGACUCCUACGGGAGGCAGCAGUGGGGAAUAUUGCACAAUGGGCGGAAGCCUGAUGCAGCAACGCCGCGUGCGGGAGGACGGCCUUCGGGUGGUAAACCGCUUUCGCCUGUGACGAAGCGUGAGUGACGGUAAUGGGUAAAGAAGCACCGGCUAACUACGU